rnacentral:rRNA from 1 species
UCCGUAGGUGAACCUGCGGAGGGAUCAUUACUGUAACCCCCGGCUCCGGCUGGAGGAACACCAACCCUUUGUUGUCCGACCGCGUUGCCUCCGGGGCGACCCUGACCUUCGGGCUCCGGGGGACCCCGGGUGGACACCCAAACUCUGCGUAACUUUGUAGUCUGAGUAAAAGAUUUAAUGAAUUAAAACUUUCAACAACGGAUCUCUUGGUUCUGGCAUCGAUGAAGAACGCAGCGAAAUGCGAUAAGUAAUGUGAAUUGCAGAAUUCAGUGAAUCAUCGAAUCUUUGAACGCACAUUGCGCCCCGUGGUAUUCCGCGGGGCAUGCCUGUUCGAGCGUCAUUUCACCACUCAAGCCUCGCUUGGUAUUGGGCACCGCGGUCCGCCGCGCGCCUCAAAUCGACCGGCUGGGUCGAUCGCACCCUCAGCGUUGUGGAAACUAUUCGCCAAAGGGACUGUCGGUCGGUCACGCCGUGAAACAACCCAAUUUUCAAUGGUUGACCUCGGAUCAGGUAGGGAUACCCGCUGAACUUAAG